rnacentral:lncRNA from 1 species
AUGUUUACGAUGGCUUCCUAUGGCCGGUCUCCUGGGAAUGGCUCGAGGGAGUUUUAUGGUGGCCACACAACAGGGAGCUUGAAGAUAAAAGACUGCAGACUGUUCCAACAAAUAAGGGGAGAACAUCUGAAAGAUUCCUUGUGGAAUAUAAAAACCUUCCAUUUUGGAAUACCCUCGGAGGAAAGAAGAUGGCGGAAAGUCAUGGAAGGUUUUAAAGGUUCAUUCAGGCUGAGUAAUUUAGAAUGGGCACAAGGUUAG